UACGAAGGGGACUAGCGUUGUUCGGAAUUACUGGGCGUAAAGCGCACGUAGGCGGAUUUGUAAGUCAGGGGGGAAAUCCCGGGGCUCAACCUCGGAACUGCCUUUGAUACUGCAAAUCUCGAGUCCGAUAGAGGUGGGUGGAAUUCCUAGUGUAGAGGUGAAAUUCGUAGAUAUUAGGAAGAACACCGGUGGCGAAGGCGGCCCACUGGAUCGGUACUGACGCUGAGGUGCGAAAGCGUGGGGAGCAAACAGG
rnacentral:rRNA from 1 species